rnacentral:rRNA from 1 species
CGCAGCCGCGGUAAUUCCAGCUCCAAUAGCGUAUAUUAAAGUUGUUGCAGUUAAAAAGCUCGUAGUUGAAUUUCGGGAUCAGUACGCUGGUCAUGCCUUUGGUAUGCACUGGUGUCACUGGUUUCUCCCUUCUGAAGAACCGUGAUGUCAUUAAUUUGGUGUCGCGGGGAAUCAGGACUGUUACUUUGAAAAAAUUAGAGUGUUUAAAGCAGGCCCACGCUUGAAUACAUUAGCAUAGG